rnacentral:rRNA from 1 species
UACGAAGGGGGCUAGCGUUGCUCGGAAUGACUGGGCGUAAAGGGCGCGUAGGCGGAAUGCUUUGUCGGGCGUGAAAUUCCAGGGCUCAACCUUGGGGCUGCGUUCGAGACGGGUAUUCUUGAGUUCGGAAGAGGGUCGUGGAAUUCCCAGUGUAGAGGUGAAAUUCGUAGAUAUUCGCAAGAACACCAGUGGCGAAGGCGGCUCACUGGCCCGGUACUGACGCUGAGGUGCGAAAGCGUGGGGAGCAAACAGG